rnacentral:rRNA from 1 species
AUUGAACGCUGGCGGCAGGCUUAACACAUGCAAGUCGAGCGGAGAUGAGGUGCUUGCACCUUAUCUUAGCGGCGGACGGGUGAGUAAUGCUUAGGAAUCUGCCUAUUAGUGGGGGACAACAUUCCGAAAGGAAUGCUAAUACCGCAUACGUCCUACGGGAGAAAGCAGGGGAUCUUCGGGCCUUGCGCUAAUAGAUGAGCCUAAGUCGGAUUAGCUAGUUGGUGGGGUAAAGGCCUACCAAGGCGACGAGCUGUAGCGGGUCUGAGAGGAUGAUCCGCCACACUGGGACUGUGACACGGCCCAGACUCCUACGGGAGGCAGCAGUGGGGAAUAUUGGACAAUGGGGGAACCCUGAUCCAGCCAUGCCGCGUGUGUGAAGAAGGCCUUAUGGUUGUAAAGCACUUUAAGCGAGGAGGAGGCUACUGAGACUAAUACUCUUGGAUAGUGGACGUUACUCGCAGAAUAAGCACCGGCUAACUCUGUGCCAGCAGCCGCCGUAACAC